rnacentral:rRNA from 1 species
GGGGACUACGAGCCUAAGCUUAAAACCCAAAGGACUUGGCGGUGCUUCAAACCCCCCUAGAGGAGCCUGUUCUAGAACCGAUAACCCCCGUUAAACCUCACCUUUUCUUGCUCAUCCAGCCUAUAUACCGCCGCCGUCAGCUUACCCUGUGAAGGGGCAACAGUAAGCAAAAUUGGCACAGCCCUAAACGUCAGGUCGAGGCGUAGCUUAUGAAAAGGGAAGAAAUGGGCUACAUUCCCUCUUUUAGGGAAUACGAAUUGUGCAAUGAAACAACACAUGAAGGAGGAUUUAGUAGUAAGUGAAAAGUAGAGAGUUUCACUGAACCCGGCACUGAAGCGCGCACACACCGCCCGUCACUCUCUCCAAGUUCAAUAAGCCUAUUACCUAAAAAAUUUUCCCGGACAAAGUAGAGAGAAGUCGUAACAUGGUAAGUGUACCGGAAGGUGCACUUGGCUAAAC